rnacentral:rRNA from 1 species
UAGGGAAUAUUGGACAAUGGGUGCAAGCCUGAUCCAGCCAUGCCGCGUGCAGGAAGACGGCCUUCUGGGUUGUAAACUGCUUUUUUCAGGGGAUAAAAGGCCCGUGCGCGGGACAUUGAAAGUACCUGGAGAAUAAGCCACGGCUAACUACGUGCCAGCAGCCGCGGUAAUACGUAGGUGGCAAGCGUUGUCCGGAUUUAUUGGGUUUAAAGGGUGCGUAGGCGGCUACUUAAGUCAGUGGUGAAAUACGGCAGCUUAACUGUCGAGGUGCCAUUGAUACUGGGUAGCUUGAGUACUGAUGAGGUAGGCGGAAUGGACGGUGUAGCGGUGAAAUGCUUAGAGAUCGUCCAGAACACCGAUAGCGAAGGCAGCUUACUAAGGAGUAACUGACGCUGAGGCACGAAAGUGUGGGGAUCAAACAGG